CAAACCAAAAAGGAGUACAUUGCUCCUGUGAAAAGAGAGAUAUCAUAGCUCUAUUUUUCGCUGUGGCAGAACGAAAUGGUUCAAGGAUUCAUCCAUUUCAAGAGGCUAGGCAAUUUAUUGAUUAGAGAAGGAAAAUUUUGUUUGGAUACAAAUGAUCGGAUCCUCAGUUUGGAAACAGUAAGGAAAAAUGGAGGUGUGGACAAUGAGAUCGGUGGAACACUCUUUGUUCUUGGUAUGGGACGGUAUAGGAAUAUUUAAAUCUCAGGAUUUUCAGCCUGUUGAGUCUGAUUAAAUUGAAAAGUAGGAGAAUCAACAGCCUCCUGAGUCUGUUGGGCUUUUGUGUCGCUGGUCCGGAUGGCUUCUCAUCCCUAUUCUUCCAGCAUUGCUGGGAUAUCAUUCAGGAGGAUGUUUACAGGGCGGUAUUGGAUUUCUUUGAUGGUAGUCAUCUUCCACGGGGUUUUGCUGCUACUUCUAUUGUCUUGCUACCUAAGAAGGAUGGUGCUUGCAGAUGGACUGAAUUCAUACCAAUCAG